ensembl:lncRNA
GCUGACUUUUCCAAAUUUGCUGGCAUAUUGAGUGCAGCACUUUCACAGCAUCAUCUUUCAGGAUGUGAAAUAGUUCAACUGGAAUUCCAUCACCUCCACUAGCUUUGUUCGUAGUGAUGCUUCCUGAGGCCCACUUGACUUCACAUUCCAGAAUGUCUGGCUCUAGUCCCCUGUGAUGAAAAGGACAUCUUUUUGGGGUGUUAGCUGUAGAAGCGGAGGAGGCAGUGGCACCCCACUCCAGUCCUCUUGCCUGGAAAAUCCCUUGGAUGGAGGAGCCUGGUGGGCUGCAGUUCAUGGGGUCGCGAAGAGUCGGACAGGACUGAGCGACUUCACUUUCACUUUUCAUGUUCAUGCAUUGGAGAAGAAAAUUGCAACCCAAUCCAGUGUUCUUGCCUGGAGAAUCUCAGGACGGGGGAGCCUGGUGGGCUGCCGUCUCUGGGGUCGCACAGAGUCGGACACGACUGAAGCGACUUAGCAGCAGCAGCAGCUCUAGAAGAUCUCGCAGGGCUUCAUAGGAUCGUUGAACUUCAG